UUAGAUUGGGCUAAAUAGUUUGGGUCAGAUUGGACUUGUAAUCAACUCCUUGGUAAUCAAGCAUUUCUGUAGAUAUCUAUGAGCAAGCUUUUAAAAUUGAUAAAAUAAAACCAUAGUGGACACUGAUGUAUACAUUCACUCCCUUAAUCAGUAGGUCAAGGGAGUGAAUAUAAAGAAAUGAGUUAAUUACACUUCUAUAUUAAAUGAUUUUGUAAUGAUUGUUACAGUUAUUAUGAAUUUCUUAUUUGAUUGCAAUUUUACAUAGAAGACAACAUGUCCAACUCUUAUUUCAGUUAUAUAAUUAAUUAUGAAAUGCAUGUAUAUAUGACCUCACAAAAUUCAGAUUCUGCCAAAAAAUCUAGGAUUGUGCAUUUUGAGUGUCUAAAUUCCAACCAAGUAAUUAAUUAGCAUGCUCACUGAACUGAACAGGCAGUUCCAGGGAAUUCAAAUGUCUGCCUGCAUUUCCGAACAAAGUGAAAAAGGCCCAUCAGUUGCCAGAAAGUUGUUGUUAUGCCUGUAUUUGAAUGAAUUAGGUAAUAGUAAAAAAAAAAAAGCAUUAAAGCAGUCAAGCAGUACAAAAAUUAAGCAGCUGAUUGUGUCUUUUAGCUUGAAAUUUUGCUUUGAGUUAGAGGAAAAUCUAAUAUGUAGCUGACUAACAAAGUCAUAGGUUUAGGGAAAGAGAUUUAUGUAAUAAAAAUAAGCAGAGUGAUUGCCUGCCUGUGAUGUAGGGAAGAGUAGUAAAGGAACAUCCAUUGUAUUUUUUUAUGAACUGAGAAGCAAAUGUUUACUGGUAUUUAUGUAAAUGCGAUUGUAUUCCUGUAUAUUCACACUGAAAAGCCUCAGCCCCGGGGUCCUAUGUAUUUAGAUAAGACUACACUUGAUAUGGUUGUCUUUUGUUAAUACAGAAUGCAUCCCACACAGACAUGAUAAAUGCAUUCUACAGUUUUAUUGUUGCAGAACAGAAUUUGGUUUGAUUGAUUAGAAUAUCAUAUCUAAAAUUGUGGGUCAUCAGCAGUUUUGCUCUCAGUAUGACUGUCAUCAUAUUAAUAUUAAUAUUUUCAUAUUUCUCUCCCACCGAUGAUGUACAGUGCUUCAAACACAAUUCAAAUUCAAGAAGCAAAGUGAAUGUACUAGACACCAGGUCUAACAACACAUGUUCAUCUUUUUUUUUAUUAUUAUUAUUAUUAUUAUUAUGUCACACAAUGGGCUGAGACUUUCUUCUUGUGAGUGUACUAUACCGAAUACUCUUUUUUCUUCCAUAUAAAUAAAUCUCUCUAGUGAUUAGAAUUGAGGUAAUGUACUUAAUUAUUUAUUAUUCACUUUUAUUUAUGAAUAUCAUCACAUUACAUAUUGUAUUAGAGAUAUGUUUACCUUUUGAACAGAAAAUUGAUACCAUGGUUGUUGUACAUUAUGCUUUCCAGGAUACUUGGCAGAGAUGUUGAAUGUCAGUGUAUUGUUCAGAAUCUAAAAGCAAUGACUUGAGCAUAGGUAUAUGAAGGCUUUGGAGAUCUUGAUGAUUCUACUGGCCUUUAAAAGAAAAGCUGAAGCUAUUGUCACAUAUUUCUACAUCAAAGAUAUAAGAAAAAAUAGCUACCUAGGCUAAAGUAAGAUGGGCCAGGUCAACAAAGUCUAACUUGUGAAAUAAGACACAUACAGAAAUCCACACUCGGCAUUACAAGUUUUAAUGCCUUGAAAUAAAUUUUCUAAAAAAUGAAUAUCAUCAUUUAAGAUGUUUGUACCUUUCAUUAAAUUGGUACACCAUGGUAACAGAGAAUGAAGAUGAUUUAAAAGCAGGGAAAUAUGAAUACAUUGAAGAUGAUACUGUUUAGCUAUCUUGCUACAAACAGUCACCAUUGUAUACAGAGGAGAGUGAGUGGACUCUUACCUAAGAGCAACUACAGUCUGUGAGCAAGCUAUACAGUUUGUGAUUGUUGUUUCAGUAAGGCAGUGAUUUUGUUGUCCAUUUAAAAAUCCAUAGGUUUACCUUUUUUUCCAUUAAUUUUUAUCGGUGGAGUGUUCAGAGGUGUAGGGGACAUAUUAGAUUCCUUAUUAACUGAGGGGACUUAAACCCCAGUUAACCCACCAUCUGUGUCCAUAGUUGAUUGUCUGGUACAUAGUAAAUUAAUUUGUAAUUUUAAAUUUACCAGAUUCUUCUAUAUUACUCAUAUAUGAAAAGUCCUUUAUGUCAUGAUUUCCAAAAGUCUAGAUAUAUCUGUAUUGUUUUGUAAAAAAAAAAAGGUGAUGUGCCUUCAAGUCUCUGAUACAGAAUUUAUGGUAUUACCUUUAUGGAAUUCUUAAACCGAAGUAAAAUCUGUGCUUCCUAUAAAGAACUGUGUAGGGAUCAAUUUCAUUAAAUCCCAGUAGAGGUUCCUGUGUUAUCAUCAUGGGAGAAAUAGAUUUGAAUCAAAGGAUGUUUGCCAAUCAUUUGUCAACUAGAAAUCCUGCUAACUGAAUUUCCUUUUUUCAUACCUUGGGGGUGAUCUGGCAGUGAAUGGUUGUGAUGAGGGGGUAAUAAUGUUGAUGGUAAGUUAGCAGAGUUACAAUUUUACACAUUUUAUCUUAAUGUAACAUGAUUAUCAAGGAUAUUCCAGCAAACUAGUGUGAUCAUAUUGCAGGGACCUUAUUCAAUGAGUAAUUUAAAGUUUCACGAGAUAAAAUGUUGGACUGAGGUGUAUGUCUAUCUAUCUAUCCAUCCAUUUAUCCUCUUUCAUAUGUAACAACUUUGCAAGAAGUUAUAAAAGCAGUUGCUACCUUCUUGCUGAUAAACACAAAAGCCAUAUAUAAAUAUUGUAAGUGUACUGGAAUGCACUGUAUGUUGUGAACUGAGAGCCCCCAAUCACAAAAAUGCUCUCUUAUGAGUUUUCAAAGCUUUCUCUUGUAUAAUGAAGUCAGACUCAUCAAUAUGAUAUAUUUCAUGACUUGCUUUUGUGAUUAGGCAUUAGUGUUUGAAUAAUUUAAAGUUUCAUGAGGUAAGAUAUUGAACUGAGGUGUAUGUCUAUCUAUCUGUCUAUCUAUCUAUCCAUCCAUUUAUCCUCUUUCAUAUGUAACAACUUUGCAAGAAGUUAUAAAAGCAGUUGCUACCUUCUUGCUGAUAGAUAUAAAAGCCAUUAGUAAAUAUUGUAAGUGUACUGGAAUGCAUUGUAAGUUCUGAACUGAGAGCCCCAUUCACAGAAAAAGCUCUCUUAUUAGUUUUCAUAGCUCUCUGUUAUAUACUGAAGUCAGGCUCGUCUAUCUCAUGGUAUGAUGUAUUUCAUGACUUGCUUUUGUGAUUAGGCAUUAGUGUUUGAAUAAUUUAAAGUUUCAUGAGGUAAGAUAUUGAACUGAGGUGUAUGUCUAUCUAUCUGUCUAUCUAUCUAUCCAUCCAUCCAUUUAUCCUCAGUCAUAUGUAACAACUUUUGCAAGAAGCAGUAAAAGCAGUUGCUACCUUCUUGCUGAUAAACACAAAAGCCAUAUAUAAAUAUUGUAAGUGUACUGGAAUGCACUGUAUGUUGUGAACUGAGAGCCCCCAAUCACAAAAAUGCUCUCUUAUGAGUUUUCAAAGCUUUCUCUUGUAUAAUGAAGUCAGACUCAUCAAUAUGAUAUAUUUCAUGACUUGCUUUUGUGAUUAGGCAAGUGUGCUGCCUUGUGCUAUAUGUCCAAAUGCAGUUACUGUUCGUUUUGUUUUUUUUAACACUUGAUAAACCCCAUAUGAAGUAAAUUUUACUACAUUAGAGGCAGUUUUCUGAUUGGCCUUUUAAUUUGUGCAUAAUUCUUACAUAUAUAUAUAUAUAAGGAGAUAAGAAAAAAAAUUGAUCAUCCAAUUAUGUAACUGAUCAAUAUUAACUUAACUUUACACAUUUUUUUCUAUGACAACUCCUUUUCCAUUUCUUUUCUUUUCAAUCACAUAAAUUUCACAUCGUGCUGUGUAAUAGCAUACAAUUUCCAUUGAACCCUUCAUUUUAUGUGUAUUACCAAUAUCCCUUUAGUUUUGAAAAAGUUAUAUACAGUAAGUCCCCAACUUAAGAACAUAAUGGGGACUGAGAGGCUGUUUGUAAGUUGAUUUGUUUGUAUGUCGAAAGUCGGAUCUCCAUUACCUUUUUUCCCAUUGUUUUAAAGUUUUGUUUACAUUAAGAAUACUUGUAAAUAAAUCUCAAUAAGUGCAACAUACCUUAUACCGUACCAGACUCUUGAAUUUGAAGUUUGUUAGCAUCUUUCAAACAAUUUUUUGGACUUUAGUACUUAAAAAAUUUUGUUUGUAUGUAUGGAAUGUUCAUAAGUAGAAUGUUCUUAAGUAGGGGACUAUCUGUACCUGUAUUAACUAAAGAAAAAAACAGACAUGACAAAGAGUAUUUCAGGUAUGUUAGUUAAAGGUUGAUAGCAUGUUUUAGUUUCUAUUCUAACACAUGUAAUAAUACUUAUUUAAAUUAAUGUAUUUAAAAAAUUAUAUUUAAUACUGUACUCCAUCCAGUUUUGAAACCUAAGAAUAUUAAUUAUUUGUAUAGUAAUUUCUUGUAGUACAUGUAGUUUUAUUGAAUAUUUAUUGAAUAUAUAUGUAUGUUAUGCAAAGUGAGCAAGUGGUGAUUAUAAAGCAAUCGGAGUUGCAGUACAGGGUACUAGUAAAAUCAGUGCCAGUGGUAAUAAUGCCUUUUUUACCUUGUCUUGCAGCACUUUUUCUAAAAUGAAGUAGAUAACUGAAUACUUCUGAAAGUGGAAAUUAUGACACAUUUUGUAAUAUACCCAGUUACCAGACAUCAAAGUUGUCAGGAAACACUACUAAGCAUUUAGUUGUUGUUUUUCUCAAAACAAAUUUUUACUAAAUAAGCACAAAUAGCAGGAAAUAAAAACAAAAAAUACUUCCAAGAGGGUGCCAUUACCAUAGACACAUGUAGUGUUAAAAUUUGUCGUAGGAGUCUCUUUUUCUUGUUGGAACCAAUCAGGUUGAAGCAGUCAGCAAACAGUAGUUGCUACCUUUAUUUUUAAGAAGAUAAAGUGAUUUAUCCUGUCAUUGUGUAUUUAUUUAAAAUAAUUAAGAAAAAACAAUUUUAUUUCGAAGUACAUCUAUGAUACUCACGUUGUUCUCAUUGGUGUCACCAUGACAAACUGCUGAUUAUGUGGCUCUAUAUUGGCUCUGCUCUGCUCUUCAAAUUUUUACUACUUAAACACUGUUCUAAUAUUUAAUUUACUUUCCGAAAAGCACUGCAUGCUGUAAUUGCUAGGAAAAUGGCCAUAAAAAUACCAUUUGUACCUGUAAAAUUACAGAUAUAAAAAUAAUGGAUGUUACCAUUAGAAGUACUAAGGUGUUAAUGGUGAUACUUUUACCAUUUGCCAACUGUGAUGUGUUAUGUAACAAUGUUUCAUGUUGUAGAUUGGGGUUCUGCAUAGUUUCUGAAAAUUGGUAGAUUCAAAAGUUGGGAAUAUAACCAUAUAUACUUGCAGUAUAUUGUGAUGUUUAGUGUUGCUCAUUGCACAUAUAUUUUUUCAUGUCUUAAAUAUUUAUUGCAUCAUUUUGUUAAUUCUUAUGUAUAUGUAUUGUACUGAAUACAUAAAUCAUGAUACAGAA